UUGGAUUCCUCUUAUUUCCUUUUCUUGCCUAAUUGCUUUGGCUAGGACUUCAGAUACUAUGAUGAAUAAAGUGGCAAAGGUGGGCAUCGUUGUCUUGUUCCUGAUCUUAGAGGAAAAACUUUUCAGCUCUUCACCAUUGAAUAUGACGCUAUCUAUGGACUUACAAUAUAUAGCCUUUAUUCUGUUGAGGCAUAUUCCCUUUAUACUCACUUUUUGACAGUUUUUGUUAUGAAUGGAUGUUGAACUUUGUCACAUGCUGCUUCUGCAUCUAUUGAGAUGAUCAUAUACUUUUUUCCUUCAUUUUGUUACUGUGGUGUAUUGCAUUGACUGAUUGAUGGAUGUUGAAUCAUCCUUGCAUCCCUGGAAUUAAUCCCACUUGAUCAUAGUGUAUGACCCUUUUAAUCUGUUGUUGAAUUUGGCUUGCUAAAAUUUUGUUGAGGAUUGUUGCAUCUAUGGUCAUCAGAGCUAUUGGUCUGUAAUUUUCUUUUCUUGUAGUGUCUUUGAGAUGGGAAGAGCACAGGU